rnacentral:rRNA from 1 species
CAGGAUUCCCCCAGUAGCGGCGAGCGAACAGGGAAGAGCCCAGCGCCGAAUCCCGCGGUCGCAAACGGCCGCCGGGAAAUGUGGCGUUUGGGAGGGUCCGCUUAUCCCGAGGUCGCGCGGCGAGUCCAAGUCCUUCUUGAACGGGGCCAAUUACCCAGAGAGGGUGCCAGGCCCGUAGGACCGUCGCAGGCAGCGGGAGGACCUCUCCUCAGAGUCGGGUUGCUUGAGAGUGCAGCCCUAAGUGGGUGGUAAACUCCAUCUAAGGCUAAAUACGACCACGAGACCGAUAGCGAACAAGUACCGUGAGGGAAAGUUGAAAAGAACUUUGAAGAGAGAGUUCAAGAGUACGUGAAACCGUUCAGGGGUAAACCUGAGAAACCCGAAAGGUCGAAGUAGGAGAUUCAACGCGCAAUCGUUAAAUCGAGGUAGGAUCUUCUGGCGACUGGCGUACCUGUCCGUUCAUUCGGCCGGUGCGUCGCGUACAGGGACCGCCACGGUUACGACCGCGUGCAAUUUUCCUUCAGUAGGACGUCGCGACCCGUUGGGCGCCGGACUACGGCCCGUCCGGGAGCCCGUCGGGACGGCGCGUUCGCGCGUCGCUCUCCCGGCGGACCGGUGCGGUGUCCCGUCCGGCACGCUCGACGGUAGAUAGUGGAGUGUAGGGCCGCCAAUCGUUGGCGUCCGACCCGUCGCAAGCUCGGUCGCGUUCCGACGGAAAUUCGGGCCUGGCCCCGACCUCGGGACCGGCCGGCUGCUGGCGACGGCGUUCUCGGGCAGACCCUGAACACGCGCCCGUCAGCGACGCUAUAGCUUUGGGUACUUUCAGGACCCGUCUUGAAACACGGACCAAGGAGUCUAGCAUGUGCGCGAGUCAUUGGGACACUUAACUAAACCUAAAGGCGAAAUGAAAGUGAAGGCGCGCCUCGCGCGCGCCGAGGGAGGAUGGGCGACGUCCCGCGAGGGAGCACCGUCGCCCCGCACUCCCGGGGCGUCUCGUUCUCAUCGCGAGAAGAGGCGCACCCAGAGCGUACACGCUGGGACCCGAAAGAUGGUGAACUAUGCCUGGUCAGGACGAAGUCAGGGGAAACCCUGAUGGAGGUCCGUAGCGAUUCUGACGUGCAAAUCGAUCGUCGGAACUGGGUAUAGGGGCGAAAGACUAAUCGAACCAUCUAGUAGCUGGUUCCCUCCGAAGUUUCCCUCAGGAUAGCUGGCGCUCGUACAAACUUUAACGAGUCUCAUCCGGUAAAGCGAAUGAUUAGAGGCAUUGGGGUCGAAACGGCCUCAACCUAUUCUCAAACUUUAAAUGGGUGAGAUCUCCGGCUUGCUUGAACAGUUGAAGCCGCGAGAUCGGAUCAGGGUGCCAAGUGGGCCAUUUUUG